UACACCGGAUCCCAUCCGAACUCCGAAGUUAAGCGGCGCAAGGCCCGGAUAGUACUGGGGUGGGGGACCGCCCGGGAAGUCCUUAGGGUGCUGCUGGCU
rnacentral:rRNA from 1 species